GACCUAAAAAGAGAAUCCAUUUGAUUAAGAGGAGAGUGCAUAAAAGAGGAAAACCUCUCCAUUAAAUGUACAUAGAUAGUGACACGAAUCCCAAAAAGAAUAAAGGGACCAAGGGAGAUGUCAUUUGGCCGCACCGUUGGAGCAAAGAGAGGGAUCUCCGGUAUCCCUCAUUUCCUGAAUAUCUCAUCUUUUUUCCUCCUCUUCUCUCCUUGGCUCUCUUUCUUCUUCUCCCUCUAGAUUCAUAUAGGUUGAUAUUGAUGAUUUCCUUGUGUUUUAUUUCAUUUCUUUGUUAGUGGUAGUUAUGACUUCAAAUUUUCAGUUACAUCAACGAUUUUAAAUUACAAAAUAAAUGAAUGCUUAGCUAGUAGGUAAUACCAACAAUCUAGUUCAGCUAAAAGAUCUGCAAACUUUAUAAUGUUUAUAUAUAAGAACCUCUAUAAGUUAUGUAUUUAUAAAUAAUUUUGUGCUUCGAUCCUUGAAGACAGAAAAAAAAACUCAUACAGGUAAUCUCAUCAUAAUAUUUUUAGUAUUCCUUUGAAAAAAAAUCAACAGUUAUAUAAACUCCAUGUAUAAUAGUUAGUCUAUUAACCGUUAUUGAUUAUAUUUAUCUAUCUAUCUAAGAGAAAUAAGAGUUAUCUUAAUUAAUUCAGCUCUCAAUCAACACAAACCAAAUGACGCACAAAGAGCUUGGUACUAUAGUCAAAGGUUUGGGUUGAGACUUCAUACUAGAAAUCCAGGAUGGUUUAUACAAAAUCGUUUUUUCAAUUAUGAUUCAAAAGCCAAAACUAUAUACACUAGAAUUAGAUUAAUGGCUUACCACCGAUCGAAAUUGGCAUUGACGUUGGCCACAUGGGAAAAGGAAUAGAGUGAGAAUUAACCAAAGAAAACUUUCUUAACGUCUUUCUCAAGUUAUGUUUUCUCUUACAGAUGAUAUUGAUGUUUUAGGCAGCUUCUAUUAUUAAUAUGCAUAUUUGCAACGUAAUAGGAUUGUUACGUCCGUUUUUUUUUUAGAUUGUACGUCCCUUGUUGUAUAGAUAAUAAUUGGAAUUUAUAUAUUUAUGAACACCAAAUUAGUAGUUAGUUUUGAGUUACAUCAUGUUGAAUCUUAGCAUUAACUUAGGUUUGAAUUAAGGGUUCGUCCGAUAGAGAAAAAAUAAAUAGAAAGAAAGUGAAUUGAGAUGAAAAUUUAUAAUAAAAAUCGAACUUGCAUUUAGAAUGAGAAACAACUUUUAGUGAUUAAAGUAUUUAUUUGGAAGCCUAUACAAAGAGAUCAAACUUAACAUAAGCCUUGAUAGCUACACAUCAUACAUCAAAAUCAAACCCUCUAGAUAUAUUAGAAGUUCAAACCCUCUAGAUAUAUUAGAAGUUCAAACCCUCUCAAUGAACUUUUCAAUAAGCAGUUAAAAGAAAAGAAAAUAAAAAAGGUAAAAUAUUGCUUAACUUAUGUAUGUAUAACUAAUUUAUAAAAGUUUUCUCAUUUGACUUCUCUAAAAGUUGAUUUUUUUAACUUAUGAAAUAAACUUAAUUUAUUUUAUCUUCUUAUUUUCUUCUCCUAUAAGUAUUUAUUAACAAAUUUUAUCCUAACUAGGUUUAGACAAUAACUUAUUGAUCAUAUUGCAAUGACAGUAUCAGUCAAAGUGUAAACAUCUGCAGAAACCUCUAAUUCUAAACUAAUAGGCCUUUGUACAAAUGUUGCUUAUCUUCUUUUUUUUAUCCACAAUGUUAGUUGUUAAUUAUUAAUUUUUUGGUUAGCGGGGGAAUCAAAUACACAACCUUUCCCUUCCUUCCUUCUCUUUUUACAACCAAACCAAUUUUAUAACUCCAAAUGUUGCUUAUCUUGAGGAAGCAGAUUAACUAUGUCCCUGUUAAGCAUGGACAGUUGGACACUACAGCAUGUCAACAACAAUAGAGCACGGUUUCUUGCCAGCUAGCUCUUGAAUACAGAGAAGUGCAAGAAGGUUUGUUUGAGUUAGAUACAAGAAAUAAUCUUUUGCAAAUAAACUGAGUACUGGAUGGAGACUUCCACAUCCUAGAAGGGUUUUUCACUGAUUAUUCACUGCCACAGUCUCUUAUUAAUCUCCCUCCAGACUCCAGUAACAAAGAUCAAAUGCUGAAGACAAAAAAUUUCUCUGUAAAUUUUCAGAUAUACAAUAUGUUGGGAACAUGCAGUCAAGUACAUUUAAAUAUCAGAAUCAACUCACAGACAGAGCAAUGGAUAUUCAUAUUUUAUAUCCUAC
rnacentral:lncRNA from 1 species